rnacentral:rRNA from 1 species
UACGUAGGGAGCAAGCGUUGUCCGGAAUCAUUGGGCGUAAAGCGCGUGUAGGCGGCUAGGUAAGUCUGCUCUGAAAGCCCGGGGCUCAACCCCGGGAGGCGGGUGGAUACUGUCUAGCUCGAGUCCGGAAGAGGAGUGUGGAAUUCCUGGUGUAGCGGUGAAAUGCGCAGAUAUCAGGAGGAACACCAAUGGCGAAGGCAGCACUCUGGGACGUGACUGACGCUGAGACGCGAAAGCGUGGGGAGCAAACAGG